CGGGGGCGCGCGGCCGCCAAGGGGGGCGCUCGCGCCUCCACUCCCUGCUCUCAAAGGAGAGAUCAGCUGGCGCGCCGGACCCUCGCGGGGACUCUGGAGGCGAAAUCCAGGACAAAUGCAGGGUCAGGGUCUGGCCUCUUAUUUCCCCGCUGGGCCCGUUAUUCAACUUUCAGUUUGAAGUUUUUCGGUAAUAUACGAUUUCAAAAAACAAAACAAAACAAAACACCUCAAUUACAGCGUAUUUUGGCAUAGCAUAGACGUGGGAUCCACGCUUCUGUUUCCCCGGAAUAGGAGGAAAAUUAAAAGAAAACAGCAGGCUGGAAAUUGAGUGUUUUUAAACAUUAAUACAUAGAGAUCUCAGAGGCAGGCGAUUAGCAGCUCAGAGGAAGGUAAAAUAACGCACUGUGUGAACCAAGCAUACAGGACAAUUCCAGUUUGGGACCUUGGAACCUUCUACGCCACCCUCUUCCACCAGGCCCCCAAGAAGUAGGGCUGUGACACGUGGCCAAGUCACUCCUCAGCUGAAUAUUCACUGAAGUCACUCCUCAGCCGAAAUACUGCUCAGAGCUGCUGCACGAUGAGUCUGGGGCCAAGGCUUUCUGCCCUUCCCAGGAUUCCAGGAGCCCCCAUGCACAGCACCUCGGGCUUGCCCAAAUGAUCCCCAAAACCAAGGGCAGAAAAUUUUUGGAAAAGGCCAAGUUCUGCUUUCCCAGAGCUAUCGGGCCUGCGAAACAGAGAGAAAAAAGUCAGAAGCAGGAGCUGAUUUCAAAAACAAAACAAAACAAAACUUCAAUGAGAUUUAAGUAGCUUUUAAAGAGGAGGAAAAGUUGAUAACUAUUGGAUGCACCCGAAGAAAAAAUAAAUAAAUAUCCUGUGAUGACCUCAAGGAUGUCUUGCAGCUUUAGAACUUCAUAACCUGAGAUGGCUGCCCUCUUGUGGUGGAAAUGAGUUCGAACGCUUGAAAGAAAGAAGUCCAUAAAUAAAUAAAUAAAUAAAUAAGUAGUCUCCAGAGACUGAUUUGGGAUCGAAGUACAGGAUGACUGUACCUACCCGUUUUCCAGGGAAGAGCAAUAGUCAGAAAUGAUAAAUCUAAAUACAGACGAGCUAUUUCUUUUUUUUUUCUCUCUCUUCACUAAUGGCUACCUUCCACCUGCAACUUAGAAUGCUGGGUUAUUUAAUACUUUGGGAGAGUGUCUGUUUGCCUUGAAAAUAUCACUUGCAGCUAACCAUUGUCAAUUCUACCGUUUUCAAAGGUCCAUUCAAAGUUUUUCAGUUCAGAGGGUGAGAUUCAGUCUUGCUGAGUUUAUCAGACUUAGUGCAUCUGCCAGCAAAUGUGGAAGGGGCAGAGGUGGGAGUGGGGAGUUGUUUAAGAUAGGGAUAGUAGAAGUUGCAAAUUCAAAUGCAUCAGAGGGUACAGACAAGUUAUGUAAAAAAGCAAAGAUGACCAGAUAAUGAUUCCACAUAAAGGAGGUUGUUGCUAUUCCAUUUCAGUCAUCUCUUGGCAGUUUCUCAGGAGAUAGUGGAAAUUUGCAUUUGAUUGUGUGUGGACAAGACUCGGGAUGAAAUUAACUGCUUACAGUCAUACUUUAGCAAUUUUAGCACUUCAGCUCACAUGAUAUUCCAUUUUAUUGCAUUCUGUAGCUAUUAGCAUUCAGUAUUGUUCUUGCUAGGCCAAACAUUAUGCAAAUCAACAUUAAAAUAGUGAUCCCCAUGUAUUGUAAAGUUCACAGCAGGCAUUACGUGAUCCAUCUACCUUGUAAUUGUCAUUCCAUGGAAACCUGUGGCAACUGCCCUGAGAAACCCUCUUUGCUUUUUAGCAUACAUAUCGCUUUGUUACAAGGGUGACACCCAUAACCAUCCCUACUUACUUUACCUGGAUGAAGUUUUUUUUACAGGAACUUGGAGCCAAGGCAAAAGAGAAGCAUUUAGUCAAUCAAAUGUUUUCCUUUUUGGUGUUUGAUUAGACAUGGUAGAAAGGAUGGGAGAGGUGGAGUGAUUUAUAUCAGAAACUAGGCCAAGUUGGCCAAAUCAGGAUCACUGCUUUCAGCAAGUACCAACUACAUCUUCUUAAAAAUUAAAAAGAAUGAAUUUUGUGCAUUGAUUAGACUGUCACACAGUUUAAGAUGUACACCUUAAGUUAUGUCUGUAAACUAUGUUGAUAACACUCUAAGAUGUAGUUGGGUGACCUGGGUUCUAAUUCCUGGUUCUGUCAUGGAUGACUGACUUUAAAAUGGUCAUUUCAUCUGUUAAUUGGGGUAAAUAAAUAUAUGUUUGCUUGCUUCAGACUGACAUGAUGAAGGUCAAAUGGAUAACAUGUGUGAACUUAGUUUCUGAUUGCUACUCACUCUAUGUAUCUUCAAAUGUAUUCUUUGGCCUUCUGUCUGCAAUAUGGCCUGGUUUUAAGAAAUAGGACUUUGGAUGCCUUUCUUCUCCUCCUCUUUCUCCUCCUUCUCCUUCUCUUCUCCCAGCUUUUAUUAUAUUGCCAAACAGUGGAUAUUUCAUCAGAAAGGCCACCAGUUGGGUCAGUCAAUCUAAAGCAGAGGUCCCCAACCAUUUUGGCACCAGGGACCAGUUUUGUGGAGGAAAAUUUUUCUACAGACCAGGUUGGGGGUGAUGGUUUCAGGAUGAAACGGUUCCACGUCAGAUCGUCAGGCAUUAGUUAGGUUCUCAUAAGGAGCAUGCAACCUAGAUCCCUCAUACAUGCAGUUCACAGUAGGGUUUGA
rnacentral:lncRNA from 1 species